rnacentral:rRNA from 1 species
AUAUCUGGCUGUUCCCACGGUGGCGGUACAACUGAGGUUGCGUGCGUGAAUCGGAUGUACGGGCCGUAAAGCUAGUGUCAGUGGCUAGUUAAGUCACAUGUUAAAUACCCGGGCUUAGCCUGGAGACUGCAUGUGAUACGGUUGGUGCUAGAAUAUGUGUGAAGGAAGUAGAAUUCCAGGUGUAGCGGUGAAAUGCGUAGAGAUCUGGAGGAAUACCGAUGGCGAAGGAAGCUUCCUGGCAUAAUAUUGACACUGAGAUUCGAAAGCGUGGGUAGCAAACAGGAUUAGAUAGCUGGUAGUC